UACGUAGGGUGCGAGCGUUGUCCGGAAUUACUGGGCGUAAAGAGCUCGUAGGUGGUUUGUCGCGUUGUUCGUGAAAACUCACAGCUUAACUGUGGGCGUGCGGGGCGAUACGGGGCAGACUGGAGUACUGCAGGGGGAGACUGGAAUUCCGGGUGUAGCGGUGGAAAUGCGUAGAGGAUCCGGAAGAACACCGGUGGCGAAGGCGGCCGCUGGGCAGGUGCUGCACUGAGGCGCGACACGUGGGGAGCAAACAGG
rnacentral:rRNA from 1 species